AGGGAUAUUUUGGUCCCGAAAAUCCAUACCACCCCGCGUAUAUGAUCCCUUCAAAUAUGUAUCCAAAUCGAUAUCCGUACCAUUGGGGUAGCCAGGUUCACUUUUUUCUAACGUCGUGCCUAAUUGUAGCAUCUGCCAACUAUACCCUACCCUCCGUCGAGUAAUCUGGAGCGAUUCCAAGAUACCCCCCAACGCCCAAUUCAAUCAUCAACUUUGCCUGAUGAAAGUGAAAAGAAUAUUGCAAGUAUAUCACACAUGAAUGAAGUGGAUGGGAGUAAUGAAGUAUCAAAUGCGGAUGAGACUAAUGAAGUAUCGGAGGUGGAAGGGACUAAUGAAGUAUCGGAUGAUGAUGAUGAUGAAAGAGUUGAAGAGCCGAAAUCUGGUAUGGAGUUUGCCACUGAGAAAGACCUUCUCGCCUAUUACAAACAAUAUGUGAAACAGCCGGGUUUUGGUGUGAAGACAUUUAGGAUGAAGGGCAGAUGGGAGUGCAAAGUAUCUGACCAUUGGGUGUGCAUGUGGUGGCACCUACCAUCCUAGCCACAGUAAUGUCUCGAGGCCACGACCAACAACCAAAACAUAUUGUAAGGCAAAGGUAAAUGCGAAAUUGGUGAAGGGGGUAUGGGUUUUGACGACAAUUCAGAUUACUCACAAUCAUAGUACUGUAAGCCCACAGAAGUCCAGAUUUUUUAGAUCCCACAAGCGUUUAGAUGAAUACAGUCAGAAAAUGCUCGACUUGGAAUGACAGAGCAGGUAUUCGAAUGAACAAGAAUUUCGAAGCACUUGUUGUUGAUGUCAGGGGUUUUGAGAAUCUUGAAUUUCAAGAGAAAGAUGCACAAAAUUUUAUUAAUAAAGCCAGAUACUUCAGGUUAGGUAAAGGAGGUGGGGAAGCACUUAGCGACUACUUUGAGAGAAUGAGUAUGAUGAUUGAUGGCUUUGUUUCAAUCCUGGAAGUGGAUGAUGAGUACAAAGUCAGAAAUGUGUUCUGGGCUGACGCACGAAGUUCA